UACGUAGGUGGCAAGCGUUAUCCGGAAUUAUUGGGCGUAAAGCGCGCGUAGGCGGUUUCUUAAGUCUGAUGUGAAAGCCCACGGCUCAACCGUGGAGGGUCAUUGGAAACUGGGGAACUUGAGUGCAGAAGAGGAGAGUGGAAUUCCAUGUGUAGCGGUGAAAUGCGCAGAGAUAUGGAGGAACACCAGUGGCGAAGGCGGCUCUCUGGUCUGUAACUGACGCUGAUGUGCGAAAGCGUGGGGAUCAAACAGG
rnacentral:rRNA from 1 species